rnacentral:rRNA from 1 species
AGAGUUUGAUCCUGGCUCAGAUUGAACGCUGGCGGCAUGCCUAACACAUGCAAGUCGAACGGCAGCGCGGGCUUCGGCCUGGCGGCGAGUGGCGGACGGGUGAGGAAUACAUAGGAAUCUGCCCAGUCGUGGGGGAUAACCCGGGGAAACCCGGACUAAUACCGCAUACGACGGUGACGUGAAAGCCGGGGACCUUCGGGCCUGGCGCGAUUGGAUGAGCCUAUGUCGGAUUAGCUAGUUGGCGGGGUAAAGGCCCACCAAGGCGACGAUCCGUAGCUGGUCUGAGAGGAUGAUCAGCCACACUGGGACUGAGACACGGCCCAGACUCCUACGGGAGGCAGCAGUGGGGAAUAUUGGACAAUGGGCGCAAGCCUGAUCCAGCAAUGCCGCGUGGGUGAAGAAGGCCUUCGGGUUGUAAAGCCCUUUUGUACGGGAAGAAAUCAUCCGGGUUAAUACCCUGGGUGGAUGACGGUACCGUAAGAAUAAGCACCGGCUAACUUCGUGCCAGCAGCCGCGGUAAUACGAAGGGUGCAAGCGUUAAUCGGAAUUACUGGGCGUAAAGCGUGCGUAGGUGGUUGUUCAAGUCUGUCGUGAAAGCCCUGGGCUCAACCUGGGAAUGGCGAUGGAAACUGGGCGACUGGAGUGCGGUAGAGGAUGGCGGAAUUCCCGGUGUAGCGGUGAAAUGCGUAGAGAUCGGGAGGAACAUCCGUGGCGAAGGCGGCCAUCUGGACCAGCACUGACACUGAGGCACGAAAGCGUGGGGAGCAAACAGGAUUAGAUACCCUGGUAGUCCACGCCCUAAACGAUGCGAACUGGAUGUUGGUCUCAACUUGGAGAUCAGUGUCGAAGCUAACGCGUUAAGUUCGCCGCCUGGGGAGUACGGUCGCAAGACUGAAACUCAAAGGAAUUGACGGGGGCCCGCACAAGCGGU